rnacentral:rRNA from 1 species
GCAGUCGUAACAAGGUAACCGUAAGUGGGGGAUUAGUGCCGAAAGGGUGAGCAGGGGUGAGUAACCUGGCUUAACUCUGGGAAAGCCUGGGAAACUGGGUCUCAUACCCCAUAUGACUCCUGGGACAUGCUGGGGGGUGGAAAGCUGUUUGUGGUUUUGGAUGGACUCCCGGGCUAUCGUAUUGUUGGUGAGGUAAUGGCUCACCAAGGCGACGACGGGUAGCCGGCCUGAGAGGGUGACCGGCCACACUGGGACUGAGACACGGCCCAGACUCCUACGGGAGGCAGCAGUGGGGAAUAUUGCACAAUGGGCGCAAGCCUGAUGCAGCGACGCCGCGUGAGGGAUGACGGCCUUCGGGUUGUAAACCUCUUUCAGUAGGGAAGAAGCGAAAGUGUUUUGUACCUGCAGAAGAAGCGCCGGCUAACUACGUGCCAGCAGCCGCGGUAAUACGUAGGGCGCAAGCGUUAUCCGUAAUUAUUGGGCGUAAAGAGUUCGUAGGCGGUUUGUCGCGUCUGCCGUGAAAGUCCGGGGCUCAACUCCGGAUCUGCGGUGGGUACGGGCAGACUAGAGUGAUGUAGGGGAGACUGGAAUUCC